GACGAACGCUGGCGGCGUGCUUAACACAUGCAAGUCGAACGGAAAGGCCCUGCUUUUGUGGGGUGCUCGAGUGGCGAACGGGUGAGUAACACGCGAGUAACCUGCCCUUGACUUUGGGAUAACUUCAGGAAACUGGGGCUCAUACCGGAUAGGAGCUCCUGCUGCAUGGUGGGGGUUGGAAAGUUUCGGCGGUUGGGGAUGGACUCGCGGCUUAUCAGCUUGUUGGUGGGGUAGUGGCUUACCACGGCUUUGACGGGUAGCCGGCCUGAGAGGGUGACCGGCCACAUUGGGACUGAGAUACGGCCCAGACUCCUACGGGAGGCAGCAGUGGGGAAUAUUGCACAAUGGGCGGAAGCCUGAUGCAGCAACGCCGCGUGCGGGAUGACGGCCUGCGGGUUGUAAACCGCUUUCGCCUGUGACGAAGCGUGAGUGACGGUAAUGGGUAAAGAAGCACCGGCUAACUACGUG
rnacentral:rRNA from 1 species